CAGAGAGAGAGAGAGAGAGAGAAGCAGGCUCCCGCUGAGCAAAGAGCCCGAUGCGGGGCUCGAUCCCAGGACACUGAGAUCAUGACCUGAGCCGAAGGCAGCGGCUUAAUCCACUGAGCCACCCAGGCGCCCCUUCCUUUAACUUUUUAAAAACAUGAAAAAUACCAAAGUAUAGCGCACAGAAGAGUGAACCAAGCAACUUCCACGUCUGGUAGUGAUGGAGUAAUUGGUAUGAAACCUGCUUUCCCACCAUAAACAGUUGUAAAACUGGACAAACUAAUGAAACAACCAGGAGGAUCCAUUUCCUUUCUCAUUUGGGUUGUUGGUAGAUUUCAUUUCCUUGUAGGUUAUGAAUUUAAUGUCCACGUCACCUGCAUGCUGUAGACUGGGGGAUAUUCCCAGCUUCUAGAGGCUACCGAGUUUUUGUUUUAUCCCCUUUCCUCCAACUUCAAAGUCAGAAAUGGCAGGUUGAGUCUUCGUCAUGUUUCAUCUCUCUGACCUGUUCUGCUCCCACCUUCUAUUUUUUUAAAAGAUCUUAUUUAUUUAUUUGACAGAGAUCACAAGUACGCAGAGAGGCAGGUAAAGAGAGGGGGAAGCAUGUUCCCUGCUGAGCAGAGAGCCCAAUGCAGGGCUUGGUCCCAGGACCCUGAGAUCAUGACCUGAGCCAAAGGCAGAGGCUUAACCCACUGAGCCACCCGGGUGCUACCCCCCCCCAUCUUCUAUUUUUAAGAGUCCUUAAAAAUGCGUGGUUUGACUGGGCCUAUGUGGGUGAUAUAGAAUGAUCUCCCUAUCCUACAUAAACUGAUUAGGAACUUUAAUUCCCUCUUCAGCCUUAACGCUUCUCCAUGUAACAUAACAUUCACAGGUUCUGAGGAUCAAGAGUUGGACAUCUUGGUGGGGAGCCAUUAUUCAGCCUACCACACCCAGAUGUGCUCUCUAACUGGAACCAAACUAGGAAUCGGUAAUAGAAAUGCAACAGGGAAAUCAAAACAUUUGGAAAGAAAACUUUAGCACUAUUAAGUAAUCCAUGGAUCAAAGAGAAAAUUUCAAAGGAAAAUUUUAAAAUAUAUAGAAUUGAAUAACAGUACAACAUACGUGGGACUCAUUGAAGGCAUUGCUGGAAGGGAAAUUUUUUUUAUAUAGUAGCUUAGUUGAUAUGUAAUUUACCCUUUUAAAGUAUGCAACUCAGUGGUUUUUAGUACAUUCACAGAGUUGUGCCUCCACCACCACGAAUUUAUUUUCAUCACCCCAAGAAGAAACCCUGUAACUGUUUGCAGUUACUUCCCAUUCCCCAUGUUCCUCUCUGCCUCUCGGUCCUAGAAAUAACUAAUCUACUUUCUGUUUCUGUGGAUUUGCGUAUUCUUCUCACAUGUAAAUGUAAUCUUACAAUAUGUGGCUUUUUGUGACCGGCUUGUUUCACUUAACAUGUUUUCGAGGUUCAUCCAUGUUGUGGCAUCUAUCAGUACUUGAUUCCUUUUAAUUUCCCCCAAAGAUUUUAUUUAUUUAUUUGUCAGAGAGCCAGAGCACACAAGUGGGGGAAGCUGUAGGCAGAGGGAGACGCGGGCUCCCCACUGAGCAAGGAGCCAGAUGUGGGACUCGAUCCCAGGGCCCUGGGAUCAUGAUCUGAGCCGAGGGCAGCUGCUUAACUGUCUGAGCCACCCAGGCGUCCCAGUACUUCAUUCCUUUUAUUAAUCAAGUAAUACUGUGUUGUUUGUUCACCCAUUCAACAACUGAGGGACAGUGGAGUAGUUCACAAUUCUAUUGGUUGUUGUGAAUAAGGGUUCUGGGACUGGUCCUGUGCAGGUUCUUUUGUAACCAUAUGUGUCCAGUUCUCCUGGGUAUAUACACCCAGAGUCCUAUAGUAACUCACUUUUACCAUUUUGAGUUAAUAACAAAAUUCUUUUCCAAAAUGAAACCAUUCUCCAAUCCCAUGAAAGAGAAAUUUUUAAAACUAGAAAAGAGGAAAGUUCUCAAAUCAAUAACUUAAGUUUCUCUCUUGAAGCAACUAGAAAACAAAAAGCAAAAUGAAACCAAAGCAGAAGGAAGGAGAUAAUAAAAAUGAGGGCAGAAAUCCCCCAAAUUGAGGGGUGCCUGGGUGGCUCAGUUGAUGAAGCAUCUGACUCUUGAUUUUGGUGGUGAGAUCAAGCCCUGCAGCGGGUUCCGUGCUGCGAAUGGAGCCUGCUUAAGAUUCUCUCUUCCCCCUCUCCCCUCUCCCUGCUAGUUCUCUCUUAAAAAAAAAAAAAUCACUGAAAUUGUAAACAGGAAAACAAUAGAGAAAGUGAAACAAUAAGUGAUUGUUCUGGGCGCCUGGGUGGCUCAGUUGGUUAGAUGACUGCCUUCGGCUCAGGUCAUGAUCCUGGAGUCCCAGGAUCGAGUCCUGCAUCGGGCUCCCAACUCCCUGGGGAGUCUGCUUCUCCCUCUGGCCUUCUCCCCUCUCAUGCUCUCUCUCUUUCUCUCAAAUAAAUAAAUAAAAUCUUUUUUAAAAAAGUGAUUCUUCUAAAAUAAUAAAAUUGAUAAAGCUCUAGCAAGGUUGACAAAGAUAAAAAGAGAAGACAUAAAUACCAAUAUCAGGAACCAGACUAUAGAUCCUGCAGAUGCAGAAAGAAUUAAAGAGGAGUAUCAGGAACAACUUGGCACUCCUAAAUUUGAAAACUUAGAAGAAAGGUGCCAAUUCCUCCAAACCACAAAGUACCUGUGAUGGUAAAUUUUACGUGUCCUCUUGACUGGGCGAAGGGAUGCCCAGAUAAAUAAUCUAACAUUAUUUGUGGAAAUGUCUGUGGGGGGUGUUUCAUGGAGCUGCUUUGCUCGCACGUGUGGAGAGCUGGUGUUGCCUGAGUUGACGUUCCCCCUCACAAAAGCCUGUUCCUCCUCACCUGCAAGCCAUGCGUGGUCUUUUCCCAAUGAUUGACCGAUGUGGGAGCAUGAAAGUUUGGUUCCUCUGGCUUAAGUAGAGACAAACUUUUGAGUCAAAAUUUAUGCUCAGAGUCCCCCACGUGGAUCAUACUGAAGCAAUCCUCCACAGGGAUCUUGCCAGAAAUUAUGCACUUGGUUAGCUUUUUCCUGUUUCCUGUUACGCUUCCUCCGUUCUCUUGUCGGGUUCUCUGGGGAACACUUCUUAAAGUUCGUUGCAUGGAUAUGGGGGUGCCUGGGUGACUUAGUUGUGUCAGUGUGUCACUUUGGCUCAGGUCAUGAUCUCAGGGUUGUGAAAUUGAGCCCCAUGUUGGGUUCUGCUCAGUGGGAAGUCUGCUGGAGAUUCUCUCUGGCCCUCUCUGGCCCUCGCCCCUGUGCUCUUUCUCUCUAAAAGAAAUAAUCAAUCAAGAAAAUUCCAUGUGCGUGAAUUCUCAUCUCAACAUUUGCUUCUGGAGAACCCACCCCGAGACAAGGGGGGCUCCUUAUUCUUUAUUCCCCAGGUUUCGGGUAGGGGGACAUUUAUUAAAGUAACACUUCUUUAUGUCCUUCACUCACUUUCCUCCCUGCGGGGGAGGAGUGACAUGCUGAACUGUGAGUUUGGGACUAGGAAUUUCAUAUCUGUUGAUAAUCAGAUACUCUGUGAACCCGUAGGUAGUGGUGCCGGCUGCGGCCUUCCUUGUGGGCAGCUAAGGCAAGUCCAUACUUGGCAUGUGUGUCAGCCUCUGCCAGAAUGAACUACUGACCUUUCCAAAGGGAAGAGGUCAAGAUAAAAUCAUUUUGACGCCAAGUCCGUGGUUGCUGUCCUCAGGGGAUGGUGUCAUAUUGGGGAUUUAUCUCUGGUCUGUGUUGCUGGAAGGUCAGAUACCUGACCACAGCAAUAUGUCAAUACAUCUUGGGAAGAGGAAGGCCAUGCUGCCAGACCCGUGCGUAGCCUCCGUCACAUCAGCCGGCCAGUUCGUCCUGUCGUCUUGGCCAUUUAGUGCUGCUGCUGCUCUCUGGUGGGUGUCGAUGUGAAAAGACAAAACUCUUCGUGUUGUGCCAUUCCCCUAAGUCCACCCAUGUGCCUCUUUCUUAGACGUCCUUGACCCCAGUCUUCUCAUCUUUCCGUUCCAAACCCCUGACCAGCCAACCAGAUCCGCUGUGGCCAUGAACCAGUAUGUGUCAUAACGCCAGGACACUUCUUCCACACAGAGAGGAUGGAUGACCAAGUGUGCCACCAAAAGCCCUCCCCGUGUCUUUUCUAGAAAUCCCUGAGUGUGGCCAGAGGGAAGCAGCUGCACAGCCGACCCAUCCACGAGCCAGGACGCCAUGUUUUGGGAGUCAUCUCCUUAGACACCUGUGGGUCAGGCUUGGUGACAUCCGACCUUCCUGCGCUCUGUGAAACCUGGAGACUUAAGGUCAUAGGACCUGGAAGGACCUGCCUCAAGAAGUCUAACCCCUCUAACAGUUGGGAAACUUCGUCUAUGUAACUGUAUUCCGGAAGAAAGACAGGCUGUCACCUAGCUGAAAGGUACACUGUCAAGUGCUGCUGAUCACCCACAUGGUCAGCAAAGUAAAGGAGAAACUUAGCUUUCACCACAGGAAGUCAGCACCCAAGGAAGACUGCACUGUGGUUCCUACAAAGGACCUUUCUAGAAUAAUGGAUAUUGAUAGUGAACUUUAAUGAAAAGAGAUAGUCUAGAAAAUUGAUUACUGUUCUCAUAGGCUACAUUGAUGUCCCCCUCCUGGAAGUGGUUAUUACCAUUACUUGAAAGAAUCACAAUUACUUAAAAAAAAAAAAGAAUCACAAUUACUAAGAAAAAAAGUGUUGGUACACUACUCUUUCUUUCUGCACUCCAAGUAAUGGUUCCCACAACCACGUAUUCCGGAUAGCUCUACAUCAGGCUCUUGGUAUGGGCAUGAUCUGGGUUUCCAAAUCCAACAUUCUGAUUAUUGGCACAGUGCAGGAGGGACCAUCUUUAUUAGUAAUUUUUAACUAUAACAAACUCGAAGUCGUUACUGUGCCUCUGUGUCCUCAAUCUCUCAAUUUAACACAGGUAUCUUUUGUUGACUGGUUUGAUCGGAGGGUUGAUGUAGAAAAUAAAAAAGCAAAAACAAUGAAUUAACAAACACUAGAAAUCGAAACUGCGGAAGUCAGAUCUGAUAUCACGAGAUUAACCUUGGGAGGUAAGUUCUCUCUGGUCCCAGUAUAGAUGGAUAAACAAAAUGAAUGCCUGCUAUGUCUGGUCAGUUGACUGUUCAAGAAUAUAAGCACUGAUUUAGACUAAUGUGAAAAAUGACCCCAUAGGAGCGGUGUAUCCUCAAGACUUAAGACAUUACACACAUACAGUAAACACCAGAGGUUCUGUCCAUAUCUUGAACUGCUGCCUCAUCAUAGGACUCAAGGGGUCCCUGGGUGGCUCAGUCAGUUAAGCAUCUGACUCUUGGUUUCUGCUCAGGUCAUGGUCUUAUGGGAUGUAGGAUCCAGCCCCACAUCAGACUCCACGCUCAGUAGGGGAUCUGCUUGAAGAUUCUCUCCCUCUGCCCCUCCCCACCUCUCUCCCUCUCUCUUUCUCUCUCUGUGUCUCUCUAAAAUAAACCUUUUAAAAAGUAAUAAGACUUUGAUACUAGAUGAUGGGCAUGGGAAUCUUUGUAUUUCAAAUCUUGAAAAAAAUUAUUUGGAAAGAUCGAACAUUUACUGAAAGGCCUAAAUUAUGUGAUAAUGAUGUUGCUUAUGUCAUUGAUGGACCUCGGUGAAAAUUUAUUGGCCUUAAAAGGAAAAAAAAAUUUUUUUUUAAAGAUUUUAUUUAUUUAUUUGACAGAGAGAAAUCACAAGUAGAUGGAGAGGCAGGCAGAGAGAGAGAGAGAGAGGGAAGCAGGCUCCCUGCCGAGCAGAGAGCCCGAUGCGGGACUCGAUCCCAGGACCCUGGCACCAUGACCUGAGCCGAAGGCAGCGGCUUAACCCACUGAGCCAACCAGGCGCCCCGGAAAAAAAAAUUUUUAAAUAGUGUAUUUAUUUCUUUGAGAGAGAGAGGGAGCAGGAGCACAAGCAGGGGGAGGGACAGAGGGAGAGGGAAAAGCAAACUCCUCACUGAGCAGGGAGCCUGAUGCAGACUCCAUCCCAGGCCUCUGGCAGCUUGACCUGAGCCAAACGUAGACGCUUAAUGGACUGAGCCACCCAGGCGUCCUUCUAUCGCACUUUUGAGGAUUGCUUUGCUUUGUGUUUUUCUAUGCAUUUGCUUGAUUUAGAUGGUUUCAUCUUCUCCAGAGAAAGGAAAAAAAUGGUGAUGAUUAAAACAUUUUCACCGCGAUUAUUUUAUAUUAACACAGGGAGGAGAUUAUAAGGACAAAUAAACAGUUAAAAUAAGGGGUUUAGGGGCACCUGAGUGGCUCAGUGGGUUAAGCGUCUGCCUUCAGCUUAGGUCAUGAUCUCAGGGUCCUAGGAUCGAGUCCUGCGUUGGGCUCUCUGCUCACCGGGGAGCCUGGUUCCCAUUCUGUCUCUGCCUGCCU